rnacentral:rRNA from 1 species
GAUGAACGCUGGCUGUGUGGAUUAGGCAUGCAAGUCGAAUGUCACUUCGGUGGCAUGGCAAACGAGGCAGUAACGUGUAGGAACCUACCCUCAAGUCGGGCAUAACCCAGAGAAAUCUGGAAUAAUUCCCGAUAAUUCCCGCUUUUAGCGGGACAAAGUUUUUCGCUUGGGGAGGGGCCUGCAUAGUAUCAGCUUGUUGGUAAGGUAAUGGCUUACCAAGGCAAUGACGCUUAGGGGAGGUGAGAGCCUGACCCCCGCCGAUGGCACUGAGACACGGGCCAUACUCCUACGGGAGGCCGCAGUCGAGAAUCUUCCGCAAUGGGCGAAAGCCUGACGGAGCGACACAGCGUGGUGGACGAAGCUUUUCGGAGUGUAAACACCUUUUAUAAGUGAAGAAGCUUAUUGACAUUAGCUUAUGAAUAAGGGGCUGCUAAUCACGUGCCAGCAGCAGCGGUAAUACGUGAGCCCCGAGCGUUAUCCGGAAUCAUUGGGCGUAAAGCGAGUGUAGGCGGUUUAAUUAGUCUUUUGUUAAAGUCCCAGGCUCAACCUGGGAACUGCAAGGGAAACGGUUAACCCUAGAGAAUGUGAGAGGUUAGUGGAACUCAUAGUGUAGGGGUGAAAUCCCGUUGAUAUUAUGGGGAACACCAAAAGCGAAGGCAACUAACUGGCGCAUUUCUGACGCUUGAGACACGAAAGCGUGGGUAGCGAAAGGGAUUAGAUACCCCUGUAGUCCACGCCGUAAACGAUGCUCGCUAGCUUUUUGGGGAAUCGACCCUCUGAGAGGCAAAGCUAACGCGUUAAGCGAGCCGCCUGGGUAGUACGAGCGCAAGCUUAAAACUCAAAGGAAUAGACGGGGACUUGCACAAGCAGUGGAUUAUGUGGCUUAAUUCGAUGAUAAACGAAGAACCUUACCAGGGCUUGAAAUCCUGCUUAUGUUUUUCUAGAAAUAGAAAAUCUUAAAGGCAGUGACAGGUGUUGCAUGGCCGUCGUCAGUUCGUGGCAUGGACUGUUCCCUUAAGUGGGGAAACAAGGG